CAAAAAAAAAAAAAGCCAAAACUUAAUAAGACUGCAGCAUUCAAAACUAAAGUAGGAAUCCAAUCUUGAAAAAACAUCUUUGUACAUCACCGGAUAAUACAAAUAUUCUGAAUGAUCCAAUUCAUUUUUACUAAGUUACUAAGUAAAUUGAACAUCUCAGUGAUUCAGAGUAUCUAGUCCAAGGUCUCCUAAAUUUUCUCUUCCAACUAGAUUAAAUAGAAUAAAAAUAGAAGACAUCAUAAUUCAAAACCAAUGAUCAAUGAACUAAUAAAAUUUAAAUCUACAUUAUCUUAAGAAAAUGAAAAUCCUAAACAAAAGACACAUCAACCCAAGAUUAAACUUUCAUAACUUUUCCUACAUUAUUUCACUAAUCCAAAAAGUCUGACUGAAAACUUAGAAAUAAAAAGGUACACUUGUAAAAAAAAAUGCAAGCCUAUGUUUCAAGUGACAAAAAAAAGGAACACCCUAGUUUUUUUUUUCCCAAAAAAUAAAAAACCACAAUCAUUUAACAUUCUCAGCUUUUUCCUUCAUUUUCUCACCGGAACAAGCAGAAAGUCAAAGCCGAAAACUUCAAGAUGCAAAAAGCAUCAAAUCAAGCAAUUCAACAGUUCAAAGUUGAAGCCACCUAACGCUAGUAAAUUCCCUUCCUUUCGUCCUACAUUUUCUCACCAACCAAGCGGAAAUUGAAAUCCAUAGGCUCAAAUAAAAACAAAACCACAAAAUUAACUUCAAAGGCAUGCAUCACCAAAAUUAAAAAAUGAAAAUAAAAAAAAAAGGAACAAAAAUAUCCACGGAAGCCAAAUAGAAUACUAACC
rnacentral:misc_RNA from 1 species